rnacentral:rRNA from 1 species
CAGUAGCCGCGGUAAUACGUAGGGUGCGAGCGUUAAUCGGAAUUACUGGGCGUAAAGCGUGCGCAGGCGGUUUUGUAAGACAGGCGCGAAAUCCCCGGGCUCAACCUGGGAAUGGCGCUUGUGACUGCAAAGCUAGAGUGCGGCAGAGGGGGAUGGAAUUCCGCGUGUAGCAGUGAAAUGCGUAGAGAUGUGGAGGAACACCGAUGGCGAAGGCAGCCCCCUGGGCCAAUACUGACGCUCAUGCACGAAAGCGUGGGGAGCAAACAGGAUUAGAUACCCCCGUAGUCCCUGUCUCUUAUAC